CCUACGGGUGGCAGCAGUGAGGAAUAUUGGUCAAUGGCCGGGAGACUGAACCAGCCAAGUCGCGUGAGGGAGGAAGGUUCUGUGGUUUGUAAACUUCUUUUGUCGGGGAAUAAAGAUAUCCACGUGUGGAUGUUUGCGUGUACCCUAUGAAUAAGCAUCGGCUAACUCCGUGCCAGCAGCCGCGGUAAUACGGAGGAUGCGAGCGUUAUCCGGAUUUAUUGGGUUUAAAGGGUGCGUAGGUUGUUUUUUAAGUCAGCGGUGAAAGGUUGUGGCUCAACCAUAAAACUGCCGUUGAAACUGGAAGACUUGAGUGGGUGUGAGGUAGGCGGAAUGCGUGGUGUAGCGGUGAAAUGCAUAGAUAUCACGCAGAACUCCGAUUGCGAAGGCAGCAUACCAAGCCAUAACUGACACUGAAGCACGAAAGCGUGGGGAUCAAACAGGAUUAGAUACCCUUGUAGUC
rnacentral:rRNA from 1 species